UGUUGGAGCCAUAACGGAAGUAUGGCAAUAAUGAAAUGGAAACAAUAAUAAUUUAUAAUCUAUGGUUAAUUUGAGUUUGUAUUCUGUCUGGCUCCCCCAGUAGGUCAGUUCUAUUAUUGCAGUUAUUCAGCUAAUUAAAGGGAAUUAAUUCACCUGCGGGACGGUAACACAAACGAGAGUAAGACGGGGAAGCAGGACAGUUUUUUGACCGCAAACAAUGGCAAAUAUUCGCAAAUGUUGGCAAAUAAGUAUAGUUAGCAAGAAGAAUCAUUUUGUUUGAAGCUUUAUCUAAUGAAGCAUUUUUGAUUGAACUUCGGAUCGGAUUGCCUACUUUGUUCUUUGGAUUGCGCGUCGUCUACCCCGCUCCUAUAGUGGCCUUUUGAUCUUGGCAAAAAGCCACUACAUUAAGUCAAAAAAACUCCGCUAGGACGAAGAGGAUAAACACCGUAUCGGAAUGAAAAACACACCGGAGCCGACGUCUCGGAUCGGCCAUGAACACACCGGAGCGGACGUCUUGGAGCGGACGUCUUGGACCGGUCAGUUUGGAAACUAGUUAAUGGAGUUAACUUGCUAAAAGGGCUCCGCCUUGCCGUGGGAUAAGAAGUCGCUGGACGUAGACAGCAGCCUCCGGCCCACUAGGUCGGCGAUGUUGCCGUCCAUGAAGGACAUUUCCGUCAUCAUCUUCUCCCUCAGCGACAUGUCUCCGUCGUCAUCGUCAUCGAGGAGGACAAACACCUUGAAGUAGACCGCCUCCGCCGGCCCCGAGCCCCGGAGGCUGUUGUUCUCUCCCGAUUCUUCCAUGUUGUGGGCAUCGAUUUAGGUCAGAGAGGAGGUCUCGGCUGGUUACUGGUGUCCAGCCUCCAAGGGGAGUCCCUCGGAGUGUCCUUAGCAGGAUGCAUUCAUUCACUGGUGGCAGCCAGAUGUCAUCAUAAUCAUCAUGGGAAGAGAACCUGGCUUUUGCCAUGGAAAUAUUGUGUUUUCAAUAAAGCCAAUUUCAUUUAAAAUGUUUGCAUUUCAUACCUGGUGAAUUCUGUUAUGUUUAAAUUAUUGUUUUACUCCAGCAUCCUUCUGGAGAAAUCAAGAUGAAACCUAUGAAGAUGAAACCUACCUUUUCUUUGUAAAACAACAAAAACAUACGACCGAUUUAAGGACUGACUAAAUCAGUAGGUUCUCUGAGGCUGCGUUCAUUAUUUUUGCAUGGGAAAUUAUGUAAUCACAAGAAUAGCAGUUCCAAAACACAACCACCACAUUUUUAAUUGACUCAAUACAAUUCACCAUUCAAACAAGUUUUUCUUACAUACAAUAACAAUACUAUAAACCUACUGUGGGAGAGUUUGUGAAGCAUGGCUGGUUGUACCCCUCCUUCCAGGGAUGGUUAGGAUGUCAGUUGGUGCCCUAAGUCCCAU
ensembl:lncRNA